GAUUUAGAGAAACAACAAAGGAUAGUGCUGUGCCCUGGGAGCUGUUACCUCCCCUUGCCCGGAGGUGAGGGGAGGGAGAAGAUACCCCCAGGUAGAGAGGACAGUGGAAUGAUAAGGACCGCCCACGGGAGCAGUGCCAUUCGCUAGAUGGACGCAGCCAACCAGGAGCAGCUCAGCAGAAAGGGAACUGGAAGAAUAAAUAUUCCGAGCUCACCCUCCAUCCCUCUGCCUGACACCGUGGGUACCUCCCCCUGGCCAACCCCAGCUGGAAGCCAGGGUGGAGGGGGGCCGGUGAGGCAGUCCUUGCAGGCCAGCCUCGCAGGGCUCAGCGCUGAACGGGGAAGGGCGGAGGGCCAACAGCAAGCACCCGGCAUGUCCCUCUACCAUGGCGUAUUCCAGAGGACCACACUCCCGGGGAAGGGUUGGCAAGCCCAGGCCUCCACGUGCCCUCCCUCUCCCCCUCCACCCCACGUGCAAAUGAACUCCACAACUAAAGCUCUUGCAGGUACAGAGAAUUUUCUCCUGCUCAUCCCUUGUCUGAUCAAUCCAGAAUAAUUGCUGGGCGGACAGAAGGCGACUAACUUGCAUGAGGUUCUUCCUAAUCGUUAAUUCAGAUUACCCUCUUCUCCACACCCUACUGCACUGUCUGGAGUUCUAGCCAUUUGUCGAGUGUGUGCGCUUGUGUGUGCGUGUCCUUGGUCCACAGUCUUUGGGUUAGAGCCACAGACGCCUCACUAACGGGUCCCUGCAGAGCCGAGAGCUCUGAGCACGUGGCCACUGAGCCCCCUGGGAAGGGAGGAGGUUCUCUUUCCCACACACGUCUCCUCGUAGCGGUGAGCACAGCUCAGUGCUGAGUGCAGCCAGAGGCUUGCUUUCCCUUCUCGCCCUAAGAUGUAAAAACAAGACCUUGGUCUGUCGGACCGGGACCGGCAGUGGCUGGGCUUCCCACUCUGGAGUCUGGAGAAGGAAGGUUGUAUUACGAGGGAAGCUGCUGGUUGGAUGAGCAGAGAACUCAGUGAACGGGAAAGUGAAGAGAUGUUUCUCAGGACCUAAACCAGAAAGUCUCCACUCUGACGGCAGAGUCGAGAAUGUUCCUCUUAGAGGCCCCUGCUGCUUUUCAAAUCCCGGAGAAGGCACCGUGACGUCAUGAAAACCACCAAUUGAAUGAGUUUCUUAGGUGCCUGUCUUUUAGGGCGCGGGGCUUGCAACCAGCCCCCAGGUCACUGCCCCACCCUGCCAGAGGCCCUGCAAGCUUGGCCAGGGACAGUCACCCCAGUUUGUUCUUCUGGGCCCUCCUUGCCUCAUAGGGGUUUCUCACAGACUGUGCUUCAUCGGUUGUGAGAUCUUUUCUCCGAGUAACUAAGGGAAGGAUUUUCGUUCCCACCGUCCACAUCAAUAGAUAUCCCCCACACGGACCACAAGGUGAGGAGACCCCCGCUGCACCAGCCUCUUUAUCGAAGAAUAACCUUGGUGCUUCUUGCUGGAAGAUGCUGCCCGUGAGGAACCGGAGACUAAGAGCUUGCAGUGUGGAACUAGAGAUGUCCCACAAGUGACUGGACAGAGGAUAGAAGUUCCCAGCCUCCAGAGUGGAGCAUCCAUCAGCAUAGGCCCUUACAUCACAGCCCGGAUCCAUCUGGAAUGCUCUCCAGCACACCUCCACCUGCAUGUGUUCUUACCUUCCUUCAAAGGCCAGCUCAACUGCCACCAUCUCCGAGAAGUCCACCUAGAUCCUGUGCAUGCUUCAAGUCAUUUUGGAGGGUGCCCAAAUGUUGCCUGAUUUGUCUCCUAUUAGAGUUAGCUGUGAGGUAUCUGCCUCCCGACCUAGAAUAAGAGUUCCUCGGGGGCAGGAACUUCAUCUCCUUCCCCUCUGUGUCCCUCCCUUGCUCCUAACAGGGGACUUCGCAGGCUGUAUAAGUUUAUUGAAUUGAAUGAAAGUGGAUAAUUCAAAAUGGGUUAUUUGAAAUGCCUGAGCUCAGCUAUACUCCUCACAGAGAAGCUAAAUGUAUCUUGCUCACAUUGUGAAUGUCCACACCGUAUUCUGGACUUUGGACUGGAUCUGUCCUGCAAACUUAGUCUCAGCUCAGAGAAGUUGGAAGCUUAUUAAAAUAGUUCAGCAAGAUGUCCCUGAGCCUCCCAUGCUCGGUGCUCCAUCCCUGAAGUAUUCUUGGUCAAAUCAGGCUCUUAUCGGUCAAGGACAGUUACUUUCGUGCCUUCCCAUCCUCGCCCUGCACACACACACACCAAAGACAUGGGCAAGUUUAAAUCUUUUCUUAUAAGGAAAGCUUCGGAGAAGAUCCUCUGUGGCAGGAGAUAUUAGUGGCUUGAGGACAAUUCCUGUCUAACUGAACGGGAGUGAUUAAAGCACUUUUUGGUGUUCAGCAGAUUCAUGGUGCCACAAAACAUUGUCUGGGCAGACAGCGAGACCCAUUGGGCCUCUGCGGCUAGGACUGGCUUCUGUUGCAAUGAAACAGAGCUUCCGGCCGGACUGUAAUUUGGGAUGCACAAGGAGGCAUCUGAAUAUUAGAACAACUUUCUUCUCUUCACAUUUGUCUUGAGGGCUCUCCAAUCCUGAGACCUACGAUUCUUCCCUCCUUUGCUUCCUGGGAGCCUAGCCCAACUUUUGGGCUGGGGGUUCCAAAGUGAUUACGUGGCAGCCCUAGGUUGCUCAUGGUCCAGUAGAGGCAAGCCACCAAGCACACAGUAAUCUGAGCACCCAGGGGUGGCAAGGGAGGGAGCUCUUCCGCCUCUUGUCUCCACCAGUCCUCCACCUUUCUCUUUUUCUGGGCCUUUCUUUGAUAUGGACAAGCGACAUUUUCUCCAUCGUAGUGAAGCCAUGACUUGAAGGCCCGGUUGCAAUAUGACGUUGCCCCAAAGACUCUUCUUACAGUGUGGUCUUCCCCUUAUCUGCGGGGGACACGUUCCAAGACCCCCAGUGGAU
ensembl:lncRNA